AGUGAACGCUGGCGGUAGGCCUAACACAUGCAAGUCGAACGGCAGCACAGGAGAGCUUGCUCUCUGGGUGGCGAGUGGCGGACGGGUGAGGAAUACAUCGGAAUCUACUCUGUCGUGGGGGAUAACGUAGGGAAACUUACGCUAAUACCGCAUACGACCUACGGGUGAAAGCAGGGGAUCUUCGGACCUUGCGCGAUUGAAUGAGCCGAUGUCGGAUUAGCUAGUUAGCGGGGUAAAGGCCCACAAAGGCGACGAUCCGUAGCUGGUCUGAGAGGAUGAUCAGCCACACUGGAACUGAGACACGGUCCAGACUCCUACGGGAGGCAGCAGUGGGGAAUAUUGGACAAUGGGCGCAAGCCUGAUCCAGCCAUACCGCGUGGGUGAAGAAGGCCUUCGGGUUGUAAAGCCCUUUUGUUGGGAAAGAAAUCCAGCUGGCUAAUACCCGGUUGAGAUGACGGUACCCAAAGAAUAAGCACCGGCUAACUUCGUGCCAGCCGCCGCAGUAA
rnacentral:rRNA from 1 species